rnacentral:rRNA from 1 species
UGGGGAAUAUUGCACAAUGGGCGCAAGCCUGAUGCAGCCAUACCGCGUGUAUGAAGAAGGCCUUCGGGUUGUAAAGUACUUUCAGCGGGGAGGAAGGGAGUAAAGUUAAUACCUUUGCUCAUUGACGUUACCCGCAGAAGAAGCACCGGCUAACUCCGUGCCAGCAGCCGCGGUAAUACGGAGGGUGCAAGCGUUAAUCGGAAUUACUGGGCGUAAAGCGCACGCAGGCGGUUUGUUAAGUCAGAUGUGAAAUCCCCGGGCUCAACCUGGGAACUGCAUCUGAUACUGGCAAGCUUGAGUCUCGUAGAGGGGGGUAGAAUUCCAGGUGUAGCGGUGAAAUGCGUAGAGAUCUGGAGGAAUACCGGUGGCGAAGGCGGCCCCCUGGACGAAGACUGACGCUCAGGUGCGAAAGCGUGGGGAGCAAACAGG